AUGGAGCUCCCUGCCAGUGCUCCUGGGAGGCAGCAGAUGAUGGCCCCUGCCCCCUACGCAGGAGAUCCGGAUGGAGUUCCAGGCUCCUGGCUUCAGCCUGGCCCAGCCCUGGCUGCUUGGGGAGUGAAGAUCCCUCUCCCUCUCUUUUCCCUCUCCCUCGCCUCCCCCUCCCCUUCGCCCUCUCCCUCCCCCUUGCCCUGGGCCUUUCCUUCUUUUCUGUCACCUACCUUUCAAAUAAAUAAAUGCAUCUUUAAAAAAAAUACAGGAUUUGUUGGAGAGCACUUACUGCUGCCGCGGACAACUUGUAUUCGUCCUAAUCCACCUGUGACCGAGACCCCUGGACAAGCCCACCCUGGCAGAAUGAGUGUAGACGGUGGCUUGAGAGCACUACCUCGGGGGCUGCAUAAAACAGGUGCGUGGCCCUGGCUGCAGGAUCCACAGCGCUCCGGGCCGGGUUCCAGGAAGUUUAAACUUGUGCGAAGCCAGCAGGACGAAGCCCACAAGACGGAGGCUGCGCUGUCUGGACCAUUCUCCCUGAGAGCCCUGCCUGCUUCCCCCGCUCACUCCCACACUGCCCUGUCUCACUGGGCUCCCGGGCACGCCUUUCCCCAGCCUGCCAUCCACCUGACCCUCCAGGUGAGCCUUCAAGGCCCAGACCCAACGUCACGCCCCCGGGAGGCUUUCCCAGUGCUGUGACCGAACUGCCCUCCUUCCUACACCCCGCGCGUGUGUGGGGGAGGGGCGUGCAGGCACCAGGGUCAGUGUGGGUUUUGGACCUGACUUUGCCAGGAGUGUCAGUCCUGGGCAGGUGAUUUUUUUUUUGUUUGUUUUUGAAGAUUUGUUGCUUUGAAGGUUACAAUUACAGGGGAUGGGGGGAGACCUUCCAUCUGCUGGUUCAUUCCUCAGAUGGCUGCAAAGGCCAGGGCUGGGCCAGGCUGAAACCAGGAGCCAGGAGUUUCAUCUGGGUCUCCCACGCGGGUGGCAGGGGCACAAGCACUUGGGUCAUCUUCUUCUGCAUUCCCAGGUGCAUUAGCAAGAGAGCUGGAUCAGAAGCAGAGCAGCCGGGACUGGAACCGGCACCCAUAGGGGAUGCCAGCGAUGCGGGUGGUGGCUUUAUCUGCUGUGCCCCAGCACAGGGCAGGGCAGCUGGCUUUCUGUGGCUGAGCCUCAGAGCGGGUCUGGAGAUGGUGCGGGCAACGUUUCCAGUGGGCAGCACACAGCAGAGGCUGCAGCCACUGGCCCACAGCUUCCAGUCUCCCUGUGGCUGAGAGCAGGGGCGGGGACAGUGUCUGAUGUGCCUGGAUGUUUCCUGAGCCCAGCCCGGGGUUUGCACAGACAUGAUGUUGGCUGGGGGCCCCCGCUGCCCCCUGCUCUGGGACGCUGGUGCCUGUUAGGGUCGACCGCCUGAAAAACGUCACCAAGAGACACUCUCUUAUGCAAACAGCAAGGGGAAGCUUUAUUGAUUAUCCAGCAUGCUGGGGCUGUCUGAUCAUACAUGAACAGAGCAGCCCCGAGUAACCAAAGGUUAGGGUUUAUAAAGGCAAAAACCGCAAAACCGGGAAGGGGAAGAGAAUACACGGUUGCUAAGCGGUUGCUAAAGUCUUACAAUCAGCAAUUAUGAUCUUUUUUUUUUUUUUUUUUUGACAGGCAGAGUGGACAGUGAGAGAGAGAGACAGAGAGAAAGGUCUUCCUUUUG
ensembl:lncRNA